AUUGAACGCUGGCGGCAUGCCUUACACAUGCAAGUCGAACGGCAGCACGGGUGCUUGCACCUGGUGGCGAGUGGCGAACGGGUGAGUAAUACAUCGGAACAUGUCCUGUAGUGGGGGAUAGCCCGGCGAAAGCCGGAUUAAUACCGCAUACGAUCUACGGAUGAAAGCGGGGGCCCUUCGGUCCUCGCGCUAUAGGGUUGGCCGAUGGCUGAUUAGCUAGUUGGUGGGGUAAAGGCCUACCAAGGCGACGAUCAGUAACUGGUCUGAGAGGACGACCAGCCACACUGGGACUGAGACACGGCCCAGACUCCUAAGGGAGGCAGCAGUGGGGAAUUUUGGACAAUGGGCGAAAGCCUGAUCCAGCAAUGCCGCGUGUGUGAAGAAGGCCUUCGGGUUGUAAAGCACUUUUGUACGGAAAGAAAUCCCUGGGCCUAAUACGGUCGGGGGAUGACGGUACCGGAAGAAUAAGCACCGGCUAACUACGUG
rnacentral:rRNA from 1 species